rnacentral:rRNA from 1 species
UACGUAGGUGGCAAGCGUUGUCCGGAAUUAUUGGGCGUAAAGCGCGCGCAGGCGGUCCUUUAAGUCUGAUGUGAAAGCCCACGGCUCAACCGUGGAGGGUCAUUGGAAACUGGGGGACUUGAGUGCAGGAGAGAAGAGUGGAAUUCCACGUGUAGCGGUGAAAUGCGUAGAGAUGUGGAGGAACACCAGUGGCGAAGGCGACUCUUUGGCCUGUAACUGACGCUGAGGCGCGAAGGCUAGGGGAGCAAACGGG